UUCAAUGACUGUGUUUGUGCUGUGACUCU
rnacentral:piRNA from 1 species